rnacentral:lncRNA from 1 species
GUUUAAUAGUAUACUAGAACACACCCGCGAAAUCGCGGGCAUAUAUACAGCUUGUGAACUGUUGCAGGAUGAUUUUUUGUAAAAGAUAUUAUGUAUGGAGAAUUACAUAGAAGGUAUACCUCCCUUUUUCCAAAGUCCGAUAUUUGUUUCCUUUCUGUAAAUUCAAUUAGAUUCGUGUUUCUGGCCCUACGACCACAAUUAUUCCUCUCCUUUGCUACGCUACAAUGCUUCUUUUGGUAAAAGUCAAAUCAAAUUAAAAAUUUGCACCGUUUCAAACAUGAAAUAAAUGUAACUGCUUAUAUAUCUAUUAGUCUAAAAAAUAUGCUUCUAUGACAAUUCAUCAGUGCUAUUUUUUUUGAGAGCCUUAUUAACAUGCCAAUUGUAGGAUUUGAAUCAUGUAUAAAUGACUAAUACCGACUAAUGCUAAUUUGAGGGGUUGUCGAUCGGAGGGGUCCUGAUCCCGAAAUCCCGGGCUUAAAACCAUGAAACUGAGAUGCAGAAUUUAAAGAAAUUCAUAUCCCGAAAUCGAAAAAUAUAUUCCCGGAUCCCGUAAGGAUCCAUCCUCAAAUACCGAGCUUGAAAACACCCGAUCCCGACGCCCCGAAUAAGGUCCUGCCUCCCUCUUAUCUCUACCUUACUUUCAUUUUUGCCAAAUCACUAUUUUCCCUUUUAACAAUAAAUUUUUAUGCCCCAAUUAUGGGCAUUAUGUUUUCUAGUCUGUGCAUCCGUGCGUUCGUUUGUUCGGUCGUCCGUCCGUCUGUCUGUCCCACUUCAGGUAAAAGUUUUUGGUCGAGGUAGUUUUAGAUGAAGUUGAGCAUGUUUUACUUAUUUUAAUAUAUAAAACAUGAUAAUAUAGGCUAUGCCUGUGUCGUUAUUUGCGUGACGAUAAGUGAUUGAAUGACAAUAAAACAUGAUAAUAUGGG